AAAGAGAAAGAGAAUGAGAAUGAAGAGGGACACGCAAAGACGAGUCUAAACCAGGUCGCCUUGGCACUUCUCCAUCUUCCUUUUCUUCCUUUUGUUCCUUUUGUUCCUUCUCCCCUUUCUCC
rnacentral:ribozyme from 12 species